CCUACGGGAGGCUGCAGUAGGGAAUCUUCCACAAUGGACGAAAGUCUGAUGGAGCAACGCCGCGUGAGUGCAGAAGGGUUUCGGCUCGUACAGCUCUGUUGGUAGUGAAGAAAGAUAGAGGUAGUAACUGGCCUUUAUUUGACGGUACUUCCUUAGAAAGUCACGGCUAACUACGUGCCAGCAGCCGCGGUAAUACGUAGGUGGCAAGCGUUGUCCGGAUUUAUUGGGCGUAAAGCGAGUGCAGGCGGUUCAAUAAGUCUGAUGUGAAAUCCGUCGGCUCAACCGGAGAAUUGCAUCAGAAACUGGUGAACUUGAGUGCAGAAGAGGAGAGUGGAACUCCAUGUGGAGCGGUGGAAUGCGUAGAUAUAUGGAAGAACACCAGUGGCGAAGGCGGCUCUCUGGUCUGCAACUGACGCUGAGGCUCGAAAGCAUGGGUAGCGAACAGGAUUAGAUACCCUAGUAGUC
rnacentral:rRNA from 1 species